rnacentral:rRNA from 1 species
AACGAACGCUGGCGGCAGGCUUAACACAUGCAAGUCGAACGCGUGUAGCAAUACACGAGUGGCGCACGGGUGAGUAACGCGUGGAUAUCUGCCUUUUGGUUCGGAAUAACCCCGGGAAACUGGGGCUAAUACCGGAUGGUUCCUUCGGGAUAAAGAUUUAUCGCCAAAAGAUGAGUCCGCGUCCGAUUAGCUAGUUGGUGAGGUAAUGGCUCACCAAGGCGACGAUCGGUAGCUGGUCUGAGAGGACGAUCAGCCACACUGGGACUGAGACACGGCCCAGACUCCUACGGGAGGCAGCAGUGGGGAAUAUUGGACAAUGGGGGCAACCCUGAUCCAGCCAUGCCGCGUGAGUGAUGAAGGCCUUCGGGUUGUAAAGCUCUUUUGGCGGGGACGAUAAUGACUGUACCGGGAGAAUAAGCCCCGGCUAACUUCGUGCCAGCCGCCGCGGUAA